UCCCGCCAAGUGUCAGCUCGGUUUUUUCUCUUUUAACCUGCAGGCACCGAAUUCUGUGGGGCACCAGAAGGCUAAAAGGGAAAAAACCAAGCCAACGCUUGACGGGA